rnacentral:rRNA from 1 species
UACGUAGGGACCAAGCGUUGUUCGGAUUUACUGGGCGUAAAGGGCGCGUAGGCGGCUUAACAAGUCACUUGUGAAAUCUCCGGGCUUAACUCGGAACGGCCCAAGUGAAACUGUCAAGCUAGAGUGCAGAAGGGGCAAUCGGAAUUCUUGGUGUAGCGGUGAAAUGCGUAGAUAUCAAGAGGAACACCUGAGGUGAAGACGGGUUGCUGGGCUGACACUGACGCUGAGGCGCGAAAGCCAGGGGAGCAAACGGG